rnacentral:rRNA from 1 species
UUCGGGACGCUGGCGAGUGGCGAACGGGUGCGUAACGCGUGGAAACCUGCCCCGAGGUGUGGGACAACAGUUGGAAACGACUGCUAAUACCGCAUAAGCCUUACGAGGGAAAGGCGCAAGUCGCCUUGGGAGGGGUCCGCGUCGGAUUAGCUAGUUGGCGAGGUAAUGGCUCACCAAGGCGAUGAUCCGUAGCUGGUCUGAGAGGACGAUCAGCCACACUGGGACUGAGACACGGCCCAGACUCCUACGGGAGGCAGCAGUGGGGAAUAUUGCGCAAUGGGGGAAACCCUGACGCAGCGAUACCGCGUGGGUGAAGAAGGUCUUCGGAUUGUAAAGCCCUUUCAGUGGGAACGAUGAUGACGGUACCCACAGAAGAAGCUCCGGCUAACUCCGUGCCAGCAGCCGCGGUAAUACGGAGGGGGCGAGCGUUGUUCGGAAUUACUGGGCGUAAAGGGCGCGUAGGCUGUUUUGCAAG